CAGUCGCCGCGGUAAUACAGAGGGUGCGAUCGUUAAUCGGAUUUACUGGGCGUAAAGCGUGCGUAGGCGGCUUCUUAAGUCGGAUGUGAAAUCCCUGAGCUUAACUUAGGAAUUGCAUUCGAUACUGGGAAGCUAGAGUAUGGGAGAGGAUGGUAGAAUUCCAGGUGUAGCGGUGAAAUGCGUAGAGAUCUGGAGUAAUACCGAUGGCGAAGGCAGCCAUCUGGCCUAAUACUGACGCUGAGGUACGAAAGCAUGGGGAGCAAACAGGAUUAGAGACCCCGGUAGUCCCUGUCUCUUAUAC
rnacentral:rRNA from 1 species